rnacentral:rRNA from 1 species
UACAGAGGUCUCAAGCGUUGUUCGGAUUCAUUGGGCGUAAAGGGCGCGUAGGCGGCGACCCAAGUCAGAUGUGAAAGUCCUGGGCUUAACCUGGGGACUGCAUUUGAUACUGGGUUGCUUGAAUUCGGGAGAGGAUAGCGGAAUUCCGAGUGUAGAGGUGAAAUUCGUAGAUAUUCGGAAGAACACCAGUGGCGAAGGCGACUUACUGGACACAUAUUGACGCUGAGGUGCGAAAGCGUGGGGAGCAAACAGG